rnacentral:rRNA from 1 species
UGGGCAACCUGCCCCGAAGCGGGGACAACAACUUGAAAGAGUUGCUAAUACCGCAUGUGGAUCGCUCUGGCAUCAGAGAUUAUCCAAAGCCGCAAGGCACUUCGGGAUGGGCCCGCGGCCUAUCAGCUUGUUGGUGGGGUAACGGCCUACCAAGGCUUCGACGGGUAGCUGGUCUGAGAGGACGGCCAGCCGGAUUGGGACUGAGAUACGGCCCAG